AUUGAACCUGCGGCAUGCUUUACACAUGCAAGUCGGACGGCAGCACAGAGAAGCUUGCUUCUUGGGUGGCGAGUGGCGAACGGGUGAGUAAUAUAUCGGAACGUCCGAGUAAUGGGGGAUACUAAUCGAAAGAUUAGCUAAUACCGCAUAUUCUCUGAGGAGGAAAGCAGGGGACCUUCGGGCCUUGCGUUAUUCGAGCGGCCGAUAUCUGAUUAGCUAGUUGGUGGGGUAAAGGCCUACCAAGGCGACGAUCAGUAGCGGGUCUGAGAGGAUGAUCCGCCACACUGGGACUGAGACACGGCCCAGACUCCUACGGGAGGCAGCAGUGGGGAAUUUUGGACAAUGGGCGCAAGCCUGAUCCAGCCAUGCCGCGUGUUGAGAAGGCCUUCGGGUUGUAAAGGACUUUUGUCAGGGAAGAAAAGGCUGUUGCUAAUACCGACAGCUGAUGACGGUACUAAGAAUAAGCACGGC
rnacentral:rRNA from 1 species